rnacentral:Y_RNA from 1 species
AGCUCGUCCUAAUACAGUGGUGUUUAUAACUAAUUGAUCACAUCCAGUUACAGAUUCAUUUCAUUCUCUACUCCCACUGUUUCACUUGACUAGCCAAAA